CAGAAUGUAGCUUAUUUAAAGCUAUUUAUUUACAUUAAAUGGAAAGUAUUAUAAAGACUCUUUCUGA
rnacentral:tRNA from 1 species